ensembl:misc_RNA Y_RNA Y RNA
GGCUGGUCCAGGUGCAGUGGUGUUUACAGCUAAUUGAUCACAGCCAGUUACAGAUUUCUUUGUUCCUUCUCCAUUCCCAUUGCUUCACUUGAGUAGCCUAAA